rnacentral:rRNA from 1 species
UACAGAGGUCCCGAGCGUUGUUCGGAUUCAUUGGGCGUAAAGGGUGCGUAGGCGGUUUUUUAAGUUUGAUGUGAAAUCCCGGGGCUCAACCCUGGAAUUGCAUUGAAUACUGAAGAACUAGAGUACUGGAGAGGAAACUGGAAUUUACGGUGUAGCAGUGAAAUGCGUAGAGAUCGUAAGGAAGACCAGUGGCGAAGGCGGGUCUCUGGACAGUUCCUGACACUGAGGCACGAAGGCCAGGGGAGCAAACGGG